rnacentral:rRNA from 1 species
UACAGAGGUGGCAAGCGUUGUUCGGAAUUACUGGGCGUAAAGGGCGAGUAGGCGGCCUUCUAAGUCAGACGUGAAAUCCCCCGGCUUAACCUGGGAACUGCGUCUGAUACUGGGAGGCUCGAGUAUGGGAGAGGGAUGUAGAAUUCCAGGUGUAGCGGUGAAAUGCGUAGAUAUCUGGAGGAAUACCGGUGGCGAAGGCGGCAUCCUGGACCAUUACUGACGCUAAAUCGCGAAAGCUAGGGGAGCAAACGGG